rnacentral:tRNA from 1 species
GGGAGAGUGGUGGAAUGGUAUACACGACGGACUUAAAAUCCGUUGCCUUUACGGGCUUGAGGGUUCGAGUCCCUCCUCUCCCACCA